rnacentral:lncRNA from 1 species
CAACAACACUUCAUCGCCCAUCACAGCUCAACCUGCACAAACAUAAACAUCGAAGGGCUAAGUACAAGAGUACUUAGUGGGUAGUUGCCAAGCAUAUAACAUAAUAUCAAUAACAAAACACAACUUCGUAUAAGAGGCAUAAGUUUCUUUCAAAUUCUUUGCUCAUUAAACAUUUCCAUAUUCAUAAACAGCAUGAGCGUAUUCUUCAUCAUUAACAAUCAUAUACACGCAUCGUGUCGUGGAGAAGGCCUUCCCCAACGAACACGGGCAUCGCACCGUGAAGGGGGCCUCCCUCAGCGGUCACGGCAUCGUACUAUUGAGGGAGGCCUCCCCCAAUAGACGCUGUAACACUGGCAUACUGGCAUACUGGCAUCGCGCUGCGAGAGAGGCCUCCCCCAACAGACGCAAGCAUCAAACAUAAGCAUAAACUUAUCAGCGUAAAGCAUUCAAGCGUAAAUAAGUGUAAUCAAGCGUAAAUUACAUAGGGCGUAAAUAGUAUAAACAGCAUAGCGUAAAUCAUUUAACGUGCAGCAUAAUAAAGCUUAACUCAUUUAAGCGUAAUAAAGCAUACCAUACUUGAAGAUCCAAUUUGCAUUUUAAAGCAUAACAUUUGCAUAGCAUUUUAUUUACGCGUAAGGAAUUGCCCACCUGAUAGCAAAGUUUUGCUAAGGUACUGACUCCUUGAGUAGUUCUUACUCUCGCGCUUGACCUUAAUCACGAGAAUAUAAAAUAAGACAUUGCCUCAAGGAAAAUUUUCAAUUAAUGAGAAAGCGUAAUUUAAAUGUGCAUGAAUCUUUUAUGCAUGAACUAAUCUUCUGAGCGAUAAUCGGGAAUUCUACUAUUAAUCUUCGUUGAUAGAUUUAACUAAUUCUCGUCUAGCGCGGUCGAAUAAAACUGUGAUUCUUCCUUCCUCAUCGGAAUAUUCUAGUCGUGAAAUAAACCUCGCAUUUGUACUUGAAUUGAAAAAGGACUAAUCGGCUUUAAACGAGGUGUGACCUUGUAGAAUUAUCGGGCUUUUGAUAGAACAUCAUUACUAGCGUAACCUCAAAUAAUUAAUAGCUCAAAAAGAGUAGCCAAUUAUUAAAUAAACCAGUGGCUUAAGAAAUAAAAUAAUGUGCUUUAAAGUCGAAUUCCAAAAACAUUAAUUAAUAAACUGGGCGGCUCAUUACUGAUAAAUAAUUGGGCUCCAUCAAAAAUUGAUACUGCUAGGCUUAGCUCAAAGGAGUAACUUCAGCUCAAGCUUUAAAAGAAUUAAAGCCCAACUUAAAAAGUCUUCGACCCAAAACAAUUAAAAUAGGGGUCCAAAUAAUAAUUAAUGUGGACUGAAAAGAAUUAAUCUUAGCCCAAAAAGGCAAUUUAAUCGGCCAAAAUGAUGAAUUAAACUGGCCCAACGAAAUAUAAAUGGGACUAGAAUAAUAGCCCAUCAUAAAAUAUGCAUCAGCCCAACUCCUUAAUUAAAUCAAGCCCAAUAGAAUUAAUGAGAAGGGCCAAUUAAAUAAAAGACUGGCCCAAUUCGAAUUUAACUGUGAAAGCCCAAGCAAUUAAAAUCAAGCCCGAACUUAAAAGUCUUUGGCCCACAACAAUUAAAAGGUGAGGCCCAAAUAGAAAAGCCCAAACUUAAUUAAAAUAUGAAAGCCCAAGCAAAAGAAAUAAAAUUAAGCCCAAUCUUAAAAAUUUUCGGCCCAAACAAUUAAAAUAUCUCUAGCUCAUUCUUUAUAAAGUCGGCCCAACUGAAAAUGAAUAGGGAGCAGCCCAUGGAUCCAGUUCACUUAAAAGGAAUAAAUUCAGCCCAUUCUUUAAUAAACUCAGCCUAAAUAUCGGCCCAUCAAGAAAAUAAGGAGCAGCCCAAUUGAAUUAAUAAAAGAGGCCCAAAGUAAAUAAAUGCUAAAAGCCCAAUUUCUUUUCCUCCAAAUCGGUUCUUUCUCUCUUCUCAAAAACUGUCGGUCCUCUCUCUUUUCUCUCUCAAGGAGCCGCUUGCUCCCUUCCUCACAAUCGGCGCUCGAUCGGCCCUUCUUCUCCGGCCACUCAGCUGCCGUCUGCUUUGGUUGGCUUCUACAGGCGACGAGUCUUACCCCGGCGUCGUCUAAGUCCCGGCGCUGUCCUCUCUCUCGAUCUCGUCUCUCUUUUUCUCCAAGACAGCAGCGUCGCCUUCUUCCUUGGCUGUUCAGCGGCCGUCGGCUCCGGUCUGUUUCGGAUGCCGAUGCGUCAACCCCGACGCCGUCCUCUUUCUUCUCCGUAGUGUCCAAGAACGAGCCCUGAAAUCGGAAAGGUCGCCGAUGCUAUUCCCGGCCUGAAUUGUCGUCGCCGCUGGUGGAGCCCGGUCGAGUCAGUGAGGCCGGCGCCGCCUCGUUCUCUCCUCCGAGCCGGAGUUAUUUUCCUUCGCAAAUCGCCGUCAUCGCUGUUUUCUUGGAUUCGACUGAACAGGGCGGUCAGCCUCAUUUCCUAAAGCUAAGUUCGAUCCCCAAUUGUUGUGUAAAAGGAUUCUUGUAGUAUCUAAUACUCUAUGAAUCUCAUAAGUGUUAUUGCUAUCUUGAAUACUUGGUUUAGAAGCUAAAAUGUUGAAACGUAAUUAUCUCGCAUAAAAUUCUAGUAUGAUGCUGCUAUUUACGCCUUUGUCUUGUGAAUAAAAACUGAUUGAGCUAUUCUGUAUCUGUAACAUGCUAUGGAUUAUUGUCUAUUACAGAAACUCAUGGUUUAGCUAUGUUCAUAAGCGUAUUAUCUGAAUCUCAUAAGAAAACUGAUCAUCGGUUGUGUUGGGGCGUGAAAUGCAUAUUAUGAAAGAAGGCAUAUGAGAUAGUAAAUACCUUGAUUGUUUGUUGUUGAUGGCUGUUGUUGUUGAUUGAAUCAGUGGAUAGAUACACUUGAAUGUUGGCAGCAGCUUAAUGAAUUCUCCUCACUUUGGUGGCUGAAGGACAUAGAAUGAAGGCAAGGAGUGUUGGCUAGUAGCCUUAAAGAA